UCCUUCUACUCAAAAUUACUUUCUUUUUUCUUUCUUUUCCUUUCGAGGCCCAUUUCGUUCUCUCUCAACAAUUCCUAAUCAAUUUUCAAACCUUAGAAAGUAUUUAUCCCUUUCGAUCAAGUAAAAUCACGAUCAUUUAAAAAAUGGAGAACCAAAGGCUGAAGCAGCAGCAGCAGGCGUUGAUGGAAUAGGCUCUCUUUCAACAACAAUCUCUUUAUCAUCUAGCUUUUUAGCUGUUGCUCCCCUGGUUUAACUUAUUCACUUUAUUUUUGUUUGAAUAUUCAUCAUUUUUUGUUAACUGCAUUUGCUGAAGUUCUCCACAUAUUGCGAACUUUCAAUAGUGAUUUAAGAAAAUGGAAUCUUUUUAAACCGGUCAAUUCUUGUGUUCUCAUGACUAUCAAUUAUUUUAUUGCGUUUUUCUACUUUGCAAUUGCAACAUGCCAAUGAAUUUGAGAUUGAUGAUUGUUAGUCGCUCUGCUGGGAUUUCCAUUUUGUUUAUCUUAAUUUUGCAUCAGCUUCCUUUCUAAAAGCAACUUAUUGUUUUUAAAAUUUGCAUUUUUUUUUAUAGUUGAAAUCAUUGUCUAAUGGUUGGGCAUAGAAUUUUCGAAUUCUUUUUUUGAAUUUAUAGCUUGUGCCAUAAUUUUCUGAGAAUAUGUAGUCCCAUGUUGGUCCUUUUUUCUGGGUAUUUUUUUAUGCCAAUGUCUGUCUGCACAUAGUAAUGUUCUUUGUAAUCUGUGACUUCCACCAUUCACACACUUUCCUUCUAUUUUCCUUAGUUCGAUAUUCAUUUUCAUCUGGAAUCUUGUAAUGAUAUGUAUUUGUCUUUGACCCAACAAGCUUAAUAUGUUUUUGGAUUAUCUUGUUAUGUAGGUAAAAUUCAUUUUUCACCAUUAUUAGUAUAUCUCCACCUAGCCAGGCAUUAUGUAAACAAUUGAUGGAAUAUCAAUAUGGUGAAAAAUCAGAAUUAAGGAGUCAUUGUGGACAUAAUUCAUGUAUUGAGAGCAUAAGCAUGGGAGUUCCAAUAACAACUUGGCCGGUGCAUUUAAAUCAACCUAGAAAUGUCGUGCUAAUAACAAAAGUACUGAAAAUCAUUGUGGAAGUACGGAACUGGACACAUAGCAAGUUUCGCUGUCACCUACUGUGGUAGAGAAGGCUGUAAAAAGAUUGAUGGAUUCAACAAGAGGAGAAGAGAUGCAAAAGAGGACAGCAAAAUUAAGAGAUGUCGUAAAGUAAUUUGUGAUGGAAGGUAGUGCCACUCGCAAGGAGAUUGAUUCCUUUAUUGCUCAUAUAACUGGACAACAUCUUUCAUCUGAAAUCUAGAGAUCUUUGAUUAUCAUUGUUGCAAGGUAUAAUC
rnacentral:lncRNA from 1 species